UCCGUAAGUGAACCUGCGGAAGGAUCAUUA
rnacentral:rRNA from 1 species